CUAUGACUUAAAUUUAGUCAUGGCGGAAGGAG
ncrna:unclassified sequences L31-Firmicutes ribosomal protein leader